rnacentral:rRNA from 1 species
GGCCUAACACAUGCAAGUCGAGCGGUAACAGAGAGUAGCUUGCUACUUUGCUGACGAGCGGCGGACGGGUGAGUAAUGCUUGGGAAUAUGCCUUUUGGUGGGGGACAACAGUUGGAAACGACUGCUAAUACCGCAUAAUGUCUACGGACCAAAGUGGGGGACCUUCGGGCCUCACGCCAAAAGAUUAGCCCAAGUGGGAUUAGCUAGUUGGUAAGGUAAUGGCUUACCAAGGCAACGAUCCCUAGCUGGUUUGAGAGGAUGAUCAGCCACACUGGGACUGAGACACGGCCCAGACUCCUACGGGAGGCAGCAGUGGGGAAUAUUGGACAAUGGGGGGAACCCUGAUCCAGCCAUGCCGCGUGUGUGAAGAAGGCCUUUUGGUUGUAAAGCACUUUAAGUUGGGAGGAAGGGCAGUAACCUAAUACGUUGCUGUCUUGACGUUAC